AACAGUAUCCGCACCAAGCAACUUCUGCAUCGUUCGGCCCCUUGUGUCUGGAGGAGACUCGCUUUCGAAGACUGAAUCGGCCUCCCGCUGCUCGCCUUUAGCGUCGCUCACACCCGCACCGUAUAACGGGGUUGCAAUUGGUCCCUCCGCAUCAGCAGAAAUCUCCACCUUCGCUGCUGCGGAAUCGCCUGGACCUCGAGGGCUCGCGUCGCGCAGUAUGGGAACAUUUGCUCAGCCGUUUGACCGCAGGUUCCAGCACCGCUCUCUCACUCGAUGCCUCCCCUGUCAAAUGCUACCCAUUCUCACCACCCCAGGAUGGAGCCGGGCGUUUUGAUCUUCUUGUUGUAUGUGAUGAUCAUCCAGGAGCUGGUGUGCGGCUGGAUAGAAUACAAAAGGCAAGCGGCCAAGCCCAAGAAGCCAGCCCGGCCUAUCUGGUGUCCACAGUAUUCUUCUCGUUCACAUAGUGGCUCAAAGGAGUUUUUUCUAAGAAUGUAUGUGAAGUGUGGAAGCCCAGUACAUUCCAGACCUCCGAUCCAUUCCACUAAACAGGAGAAACUCAGGGACUGGAAAAAGUCUGGACGCAUCGUGAGAAAAGCAUAAACAGGUCUGAGCAUCAGUUCCCGAAGCAUCUUGAGUUCUCUCAUCCCCAGGAGCAACUUUCACUGCUUGUAUAUAGACUACCUACCACCUCCUGUGUUUGUUUUGUGAAGGAAAAAACAGCAUUGAAUUUUCAUAAUUUUGCACAAAUGUAUUCAUAGCUUUGCACAUGAAACACAAUUUAUUGUAUUAUUGAUUAUAAAUCUGUAAGUUGCAAUGAACAAAUAUGUUUUUUGUAAGUGUGCGAAACACAAAGUAAUACCACUGUGAUUAGCUGCUAUCAUCUCCACUGACUGGAAGUGACACUAGUACCAUUUUCUGUCAGAUCUUCUAGCCUCUGCAUAUGAUGUUACAAUUGUGCAGAAAGACCCAAUGCUCCUGUAAAACCAGUGGCCGGGUGGGGGAAGAAGAGACAAACACAGAGCCAAUGUUUCAACCAGAUCUUCAUACAUCAGAGGGAAACAUUGCAGUAGGACUCCAUCAAAACAAUGAACUCUUGUUUUAAGAGGUAACAAGUAACAAGGGCUCUUUCACUCCGAACACUGAAAUCAUGCUUUUGCUUUGAAAUAGAGUAUUUUUUCAUUUGAUUUAUAAAAUAUUAUAAUCAUCACUAAGUAUUAGAACACAUGGAGAUUCAAAAAGACAGAAAAAAAAUCACUGUGUUCCAGAAGAAUUUAAAAAUAUCAAAUCUGAACAAGGAUCUAGUGCUUUCCCGGUGUAUGUGAUGAAUAAAUUCUUCUUGGGCUUCCAGCCAGGUUACAGGUAUCAAUUAUGACCGAUGUUUCGAUGACAAACUCCGCCAUCUUCGUCAGGGAUGAUGCGAUCAAGGUGGCAGAACUUGUCAUCGAAACAUCGGUUAUAAUUGAUACCAGUACCUGGCUGGAAGCCCGAGAAGGGUUUAUUUGAAAUAUCAAAUUUGUUUGGCAUUUAUUGCAACAAAUAAUAUAAUAAUUCACAUGAAAUACCCACAGCCGCUGAUAGAGCACACAUGAUCUCAAUCGUUCUGAGUUCAUUACACAUCCGUGGGAACUACACCCAUUCAAGAACAAAAUAAUGUGAAGAGUCAUAAAACCAUCCAAACAAACCUUUGUGAUAAAGGCUCUAGUGCUUUGUGAUAUUACUUUGAUGUGAAUCUGGACAGUUUUGUUUUUACAUAAACACUGUACAUUUAUUGAUGCACUAAGUGAUGUAUAAGCUAUUCCAUGUGUAUUUGAAAGGUCAACUCUUUGAGACCAUUUGUGUUUUAAUUACUAACUGUACUGAUUUGAUAAAUAAAAGGCCAGUAUAGUGUUUAAGCCAAUCUAUAGGUCUCUGACUGUAGAGGAUUGUUUUAAAAUCCAAACAAUAUUGGAGGUUUCA